AUUGAACGCUGGCGGCAGGCCUAACACAUGCAAGUCGAACGAGUGGCGGACGGGUGAGUAUUGUCUGGGAAACUGUCUCCUGGCGGGGGAUAACUACUGUAAAAUGUAGCUAAUACCGCAUACCCUCGGUUGUUCCCACAUGGGAGUAGCUAGUAUGUGGGGUAAAGGCUCACCAAGGCGACGAUCCCUAGCUGGUCUGAGAGGAUGAACAGCCACACGGGAACUGAGACACGGUCCAGACUCCUACGGGAGGCAGCAGUGGGGAAUAUUGCACAAUGGGCGCAAGCCUGAUGCAGCCAUGCCGCGUGUGUGAAGAAGGCCUUCGGGUUGUAAAGCACUUUCAGCGGGGAGGCGUUACCCGCAGAAGAAGCACCGGCUAACUCCGUGCCAGCAGCCGCGGUAAUAC
rnacentral:rRNA from 1 species